GAUGAACGCUGGCGGCGUGCCUAAUACAUGCAAGUCGAGCGAACGGACGAGAAGCUUGCUUUUCUGAUGUUAGCGGCGGACGGGUGAGUAACACGUGGAUAACCUACCUAUAAGACUGGGAUAACUUCGGGAAACCGGAGCUAAUACCGGAUAAUAUUUUGAACCGCAUGGUUCAAAAGUGAAAGACGGUCUUGCUGCCGCUUAUAGAUGGAUCCGCGCUGCAUUAGCUAGUUGGUAAGGUAACGGCUUACCAAGGCAACGAUGCAUAGCCGACCUGAGAGGGUGAUCGGCCACACUGGAACUGAGACACGGUCCAGACUCCUACGGGAGGCAGCAGUAGGGAAUCUUCCGCAAUGGGCGAAAGCCUGACGGAGCAACGCCGCGUGAGUGAUGAAGGUCUUCGGAUCGUAAAACUCUGUUAUUAGGGAAGAACAUAUGUGUAAGUAACUGUGCACAUCUUGACGGUACCUAAUCAGAAAGCCACGGCUAACUACGUG
rnacentral:rRNA from 1 species